GCGGGCGCGCCCCGGGGGGCGCGGGACCCAGGUCUGGAGACGGGAAAACAGGCUGGAGUCACCUGCCGUAGAGUGGGGGUGCCCUGGCCAGCCCUGGCCUCCUGCAUCUGUCAAUGGUGACCUCAGAGGGCAUUUAUGGAGCGAUUAGCCAGUGCCAGGCCUGCCUUGUGCCCAGCCAGUCACCAGCCGGCUAUGCUGUGACCCCGGGAGCCUUUGGGGUGGGCAUUACCCCAUUUUACAGAUGAAGAAACUGAGGCCACAGCCAAUGAGACACGAAUGUGGUGUGCAUCUCACCCUUCCCCGUCGGCUUUUUGAGGAUGGUCCUGGUUGAGUGAGAACAAAGGUGGCGGAGGGAGCCGUGGACUGGUGCCAAAUGAGCAGCCCAAGCAGGACACUGGGGCCCCCUGUGAGUGGCCAGCAGCCCCCACCUCCCUCCCUGCCUCUUGCCUCUCGUGUGUGGCUCUGCCACCUGCACACCGUCACCUCAGUCUGGUCGGGAGUGGAAUGGACACCGUCACCUCAGUCUGGUCGGGAGUGGAAUGGACACCGUCACCUCAGUCUGGUCGGGAGUGGAAUGGACACCAUCACCUCAGUCUGGUCGGGAGUGGAAUGGGACACGGGUUGUCGGAACUUGCUGGGCUUCACAGGGGCCACUGUGUGGCCCUUUGGGGACCAGAUGCCCAGAGCCAGUCUAAAUGAAUAAACAUGCUAAAACGCUUCCCCACCAUUUCCCAUACUCGGCGUCCCCAUGGUUGAGUGGGUUGUUCCUGGGUGUGAUGGGGACAAACCCUGUGCUCUGUUCUGCCUCACUAAGCCAGGGGCUGCCCUCACUGAAGGGCCUUGACCGCCUGGUUCCCGGCCCCACCCUGACUGCCUCCUGCUCCAGGACGCAUCCAGCCAGCACGGGCUGUUCCCUCCGAGUGUCAGGUGUCUCGGGUGUCCUGAGGCCUGGCUCCAAGGUUCACACCCUCCCUGGUGGUGGGGGCAGGGGAGGUCCCCGGAGUGAGCAGCUCCUCCCGCUGGGCCCCUGCUAAGUCCCAGCUGUGCCCUUGGUCUUAUUUAUAGGGUCCUGGUGGCCUGGCAGGAACUUGAAGACCUGGGGCUG
ensembl:lncRNA novel transcript, antisense to MIDN